GUGUCCCGAGACUAGGACGUGGCUCCAGGAGUGCUCGGGCCAGCUGGUCCUUUUCCCAUCCCUCCCCAUGAAGGAGGGAGGCUGGUAGCUUUGCCAGCAGCUGCGCCGCGGCAGGGGUGGCCCAUGGACCUGCCCGAGGGCCCGGUGGGUGGCCCCACUGCGGAAAGAAAGAGGUAACACCAACCCCAUUUUCCAGAGGAAGAAACUGAGGCCCAAGAGAAGUUGAGUCCAUUGCCCCAGGUGCCACCACUUGUCUGAGGCCAAGCCUCGGUUGCCCCCUGGAUCUACCCCGUCCUGCAGCCUGUGCUCAGUGAGCUGCUGCACCCAGCUGUUCAAGGCCAGGGCAGGGAGCCUAGAAGUUCACUUCCAGCCCUGGGAGAGAGGCUGGGCCAGCCCAGUGGCUCCUGCAGUUGAGGAUCUCUUCCUAUGUCAUGGAGCAUUUGUUGAGCACCUGCCAUCUGCAGGUGUUGUGGCUACAACAGUAGACAAAUAGACCCCAGGACGUGUGUGUGUGUGUGUGUGUGUGUGUGUGUGUGUGUGUACAUGCGUGUGCUUCACAUACAC
rnacentral:lncRNA from 10 species